rnacentral:rRNA from 1 species
AGAGUUUGAUCCUGGCUCAGGACGAACGCUGGCGGCGUGCUUAACACAUGCAAGUCGAACGAUGAAAGGAAGCUUGCUUCCUGGAUUAGUGGCGAACGGGUGAGUAACACGUGAGCAAUCUGCCCUUGACUCUGGGAUAAGCGUUGGAAACGACGUCUAAUACCGGAUACGACCCUCGGAGGCAUCUCCUGGGGGUGGAAAGAAUUUUGGUCAAGGAUGAGCUCGCGGCCUAUCAGCUUGUUGGUGAGGUAAUGGCUCACCAAGGCGACGACGGGUAGCCGGCCUGAGAGGGUGACCGGCCACACUGGGACUGAGACACGGCCCAGACUCCUACGGGAGGCAGCAGUGGGGAAUAUUGCACAAUGGGCGAAAGCCUGAUGCAGCAACGCCGCGUGAGGGACGACGGCCUUCGGGUUGUAAACCUCUUUUAGUAGGGAAGAAGCGAAAGUGACGGUACCUGCAGAAAAAGCACCGGCUAACUACGUGCCAGCAGCCGCGGUAAUACGUAGGGUGCAAGCGUUGUCCGGAAUUAUUGGGCGUAAAGAGCUCGUAGGCGGUUUGUCGCGUCUGCUGUGAAAACCCGAGGCUCAACCUCGGGCCUGCAGUGGGUACGGGCAGACUAGAGUGCGGUAGGGGAGAUUGGAAUUCCUGGUGUAGCGGUGGAAUGCGCAGAUAUCAGGAGGAACACCGAUGGCGAAGGCAGAUCUCUGGGCCGUAACUGACGCUGAGGAGCGAAAGCAUGGGGAGCGAACAGGAUUAGAUACCCUGGUAGUCCAUGCCGUAAACGUUGGGAACUAGAUGUGGGGACCAUUCCACGGUCUCCGUGUCGCAGCUAACGCAUUAAGUUCCCCGCCUGGGGAGUACGGCCGCAAGGCUAAAACUCAAAGGAAUUGACGG